rnacentral:lncRNA from 1 species
GCCACCUAGGAACAGGAUAAUUUACAAUAUCAACACUAAGUGGCAACACCUCAAAUGUACACAUUUUCUAGGUUUGUAAUAUGCACAUAGCAUAUUACUCCCCCAUAAUGUGAUAAACCAACAAUAUUAACAAGUGGAAAUUGAAACCAACAAGAGAUAAUUAAUGGACCAUAUAGAAUUUGAAUUUCUCAUGAGUAAGACAUACCACAUAGAAACUAGAUAAUCUUGAAAUAUCAAAACUAAGUGUUAUUCCCCAUGUAUACACAUUUAUAGGAUUGAGAAGUGUGCAAAGCACAUCACUCCCCCACAAUGGGAUAAUCCAUUAAUCUCUCACAAGAGCCAACAAAAAUACAAACAAGACACAAAAGG